rnacentral:rRNA from 1 species
CUGGGAGGACCAUCUCCUAAGGCUAAAUACUCUCUAGUGACCGAUAGUGAACCAGUACCGUGAGGGAAAGGUGAAAAGCACCCCGGAAGGGGAGUGAAAUAGAACCUGAAACCGUGUGCUUACAAGUAGUCAGAGCCCGUUAAUGGGUGAUGGCGUGCCUUUUGUAGAAUGAACCGGCGAGUUACGAUUUGAUGCAAGGUUAAGCAGUAAAUGUGGAGCCGUAGCGAAAGCGAGUCUGAAUAGGGCGUUUAGUAUUUGGUCGUAGACCCGAAACCAGGUGAUCUACCCUUGGUCAGGUUGAAGUUCAGGUAACACUGAAUGGAGGACCGAACCGACUUACGUUGAAAAGUGAGCGGAUGAACUGAGGGUAGCGGAGAAAUUCCAAUCGAACCUGGAGAUAGCUGGUUCUCUCCGAAAUAGCUUUAGGGCUAGCCUCAAGUGAUGAUUAUUGGAGGUAGAGCACUGUUUGGACGAGGGGCCCCUCUCGGGUUACCGAAUUCAGACAAACUCCGAAUGCCAAUUAAUUUAACUUGGGAGUCAGAACAUGGGUGAUAAGGUCCGUGUUCGAAAGGGAAACAGCCCAGACCACCAGCUAAGGUCCCAAAAUAUAU